rnacentral:rRNA from 1 species
GACGAACGCUGGCGGCGUGCUUAACACAUGCGAGUCGAACGGAAAGGCCCUGCUUUUGUGGGGUGCUCGAGUGGCGAACGGGUGAGUAACACGUGAGUAACCUGCCCUUGACUUUGGGAUAACUUCAGGAAACUGGGGCUAAUACCGGAUAGGAGCUCCUGCUGCAUGGUGGGGGUUGGAAAGUUUCGGCGGUUGGGGAUGGACUCGCGGCUUAUCAGCUUGUGGGUGGGGGAGUGGCUUACCAAGGCUUUGACGGGUAGCCGGCCUGGGAGGGUGACCGGCCACAUUGGGACUGCGGUACGGCCCAGACUCCUACGGUAGGCAGCAGUGGGGAAUAUUGCACAAUGGGCCGAAGCCUGAUGCAGCAACGCCGCGUGCGGGAUGACGGCCUUCGUGUUGUAAACCGCUUUCGCCUGUGACGAAGCGUGAGUGACGGUAAUGGGUAAAGAAGCACCGGCUAACUACGUG